ensembl:snoRNA SNORA72 Small nucleolar RNA SNORA72
AAGUUAAAAGUAAAAGCAAACAAACCAACCGACCAUGCAUGUGUGCCAGACCUACUUCUUUACCUGGGUCUGGUUUUAUAAAUGUUGGUGAUAAAC